UUCUGGCCCCGCUUUCACUAACGUUCUCAAAGUGAGAAAAUUCUCAGCUCAAGAUUUUCUCAGAAUAGUCUGAGAAUUGUCUCAGCUGAGAAAUUUCUCAAGUUGGCUUUCGCUAAACUUUUUCUCAAGUCUUGAGAUUUUUCUCAGCUGAGCCGUAAUUUUUUAAGACAUAAGCGGCCAAACAUCCAAGGAGCCGCGUGAACUUUCCCACGAACACGAGUGCAUAGUUGGGGGCAGUGGAUUUAUUCAUUUAUUGAGACGAAAUGAAGCGUUGAGAAAUGUUCAUAAACAACAUGUACAGUUUCGGGAUAUAUCCAAAUUGUAUGUUUGUACAAAGGUCACAGCCUGCUGAUGAAGAUCCUCAGCUUAUACAGAGGUCAGGCUUGAGCUAUGUGCUGAUUCAAAAGAUGCUAAUGACAGUGGAUAAUCCAUUCUGAAUUGUUCUAGGACCAUUCACCAACGUUUAAAAACACUGAUGGAACUGAUGGCAGUAGGUGUACUGGUGUCUGGCCUGUGAUUUCAAGUAUAAUUGAUGUACCUCCUCCUGAUGUAUCUUCUUGAAUACAAUAUAUCUGCCAUAUGGAAGGAACAAGCUGCAAGAUAUACUGUGGAAGUGGGGGCCUAUGUAAAAAACAUUUUAUUUAAAGAAUAUAAGAAAUCUGACACUAAACUACUGAAAAGGUGCACAGGGGACAUUUUUGUGUGUAUAGACUUUCAUCAAGAUUCUGAGAAAGUUGAUUUAUUAAACAAAAAUAAGUCAUAUUGUGUCUUCAAAGCUGAAAAGAUUAAGAUCUUAGGAAAACAUUUGGACUCAAGAAAAGUAAUGGGGUUAUGAAACUAGUGUUCAACAUUUAAAUUGUUUUUGUUUUUUUUCACUACAUUUUGUGAAGAGGGUUCCAUCACAAGAUGUGACAUAUUGGUAAGAAUGAGAUGAAGUUUAUAAAAAAAAGUAUUUUGCUUUAAAUGUGCAGACUUUAAGUUACAUAAAAAUCAAAGCUGUAACAAUAAAGCUUGAUUAAAAAAACACACUGUUGAAAACUAGCCUUCAUGUAAAUGUCACACUUUUUUGGGUGCCCAGGGGACACAAUUAGCUAUAUAAUUUAAUAUAACUUUAACCCUUAGGCCCUUGCUAAAUUUCUAUAAUGAACUUGUCCGUUUUACAAUUUGAACAGUAUUAUUAAGUGUUAAAGGGGUGCUAACCAAAAAGAUACUGACUGAAUGGCGAACAGUGCAGAUCAAGAUCAGACUGCACAGAUGUGCAGGCUGAUCCUGAUCUACACUUGUUACAAAGGUAGGACCAACCAUGUACAGCAUGAUAAGGGUUAAAACUGCUUGAGCCAUUCAGCUGAAAAUUGCAAACAUUUGUUGACUACAUUGAUUGGAAUAUGUAAUUUGCCCCAAAACACUUUAUAAAACUAAACCAAAUUAAAAUAAGGUGAGUGAGAAGAAAAAGCUUAAUUAUUUAAAAAAAAAACAAUAUAGUCGAUAGAUAUACAUUGUUGAAUACAUUAUCUUUGUUCACAUUAAAUUUAAAUGUGGCUGCCACAUUGUUUGUUAGGAACAUAAGACACAUUAAUUUCUUGUUUUCGAAUUUUAAUUAUCGCAUUUAUGUGUCAAAGAUUGGCAUGGGUGAAAAUGUUACUGAAAAUAUUAAAUCAGUUUUAUUGAUUAACUCCCUUUUUGGCUUGUGCAGUAUAAAGUCAUGUGCAUCAUUGAAAGUAUAUGUAGUACUUUUCUAACCAACUGAUAAACAUUCUAUUUUUGGAAAGUUUGUUGCAUAAAGUUAAAGGAGGUUUUUUUGUAUGAAAUUUAUAUGGUGUAGGCCUUUAAGCUGUUUACUUUAAAAACCACCUUGUAUUUUUGAUAAUUU